rnacentral:rRNA from 1 species
UACGUAGGGGGCAAGCGUUGUCCGGAAUCAUUGGGCGUAAAGAGCGCGUAGGCGGCCCUGUAAGUCCGCUGUGAAAGUCAACGGCUCAACUGUUGAAAGCCGGUGGAUACUGUCGGGCUAGAGUACGGAAGAGGCAAGUGGAAUUCCUGGUGUAGCGGUGGAAUGCGCAGAUAUCAGGAGGAACACCUAUAGCGAAGGCAGCUUGCUGGGACGUUACUGACGCUAAGGCGCGAAAGCGUGGGGAGCGAACAGG